rnacentral:rRNA from 1 species
GAUCAUGGCUCAGGAUGAACGCUAGCGGCAGGCCUAAUACAUGCAAGUCGAACGAGAUUAGUAGCAAUACUAUGAAAGUGGCGCACGGGUGCGUAACACGUAUGCAAUCUACCUUUAAUUGGAGAAUAGCCUCGAGAAAUCGGGAUUAAUACUCCAUAACAUUAUGAAGUGGCAUCACUUUAUAAUUAAACCUCCGGGGAUUAAAGAUGAGCAUGCGCAACAUUAGCUAGUUGGUAAGGUAAUGGCUUACCAAGGCUACGAUGUUUAGGGGGUCUGAGAGGAUGAUCCCCCACACUGGUACUGAGACACGGACCAGACUCCUACGGGAGGCAGCAGUAGGGAAUAUUGGGCAAUGGAGGCAACUCUGACCCAGCCAUGCCGCGUGCAGGAUGACGGCCCUCUGGGUUGUAAACUGCUUUUAUACGGGAAGAAAAAAUACUACGUGUAGUACAUUGACGGUACCAUAAGAAUAAGGAUCGGCUAACUCCGUG